rnacentral:rRNA from 1 species
ACGCACGCUGGCGGCGUGCCUAAUACAUGCAAGUAGAACGCUGAAGAGAGGAGCUUGCUCUUCUUGGAUGAGUUGCGAACGGGUGAGUAACGCGUAGGUAACCUGCCUUGUAGCGGGGGAUAACUAUUGGAAACGAUAGCUAAUACCGCAUAACAAUGGAUGACACAUGUCAUUUAUUUGAAAGGGGCAAUUGCUCCACUACAAGAUGGACCUGCGUUGUAUUAGCUAGUAGGUGAGGUAAUGGCCCACCUAGGCGACGAUACAUAGCCGACCUGAGAGGGUGAUCGGCCACACUGGGACUGAGACACGGCCCAGACUCCUACGGGAGGCAGCAGUAGGGAAUCUUCGGCAAUGGGGGCAACCCUGACCGAGCAACGCCGCGUGAGUGAAGAAGGUUUUCGGAUCGUAAAGCUCUGUUGUAAGUCAAGAACGGGUGUGAGAGUGGAAAGUUCACACUGUGACGGUAGCUUACCAGAAAGGGACGGCUAACUACGUG